rnacentral:rRNA from 1 species
AGACUCCUACGGGAGGCCAGCAGUGGGGGAAUAUUGCACAAUGGGCGAAAGCCUGAUGCAGCAANCGCCGCGUGAGGGNAUGACGGCCUUCGGGUUGUAAACCUCUUUUAGUAGGGAAGAAGCGAAAGUGACGGUACCUGCAGAAAAAGCACCGGCUAACUACGUGCCAGCAGCCGCGGUAAUACGUAGGGUGCAAGCGUUGUCCGGAAUUAUUGGGCGUAAAGAGCUCGUAGGCGGUUUGUCGCGUCUGCUGUGAAAUCCCGAGGCUCAACCUCGGGCUUGCAGUGGGUACGGGCAGACUAGAGUGCGGUAGGGGAGAUUGGAAUUCCUGGUGUAGCGGUGGAAUGCGCAGAUAUCAGGAGGAACACCGAUGGCGAAGGCAGAUCUCUGGGCCGUAACUGACGCUGAGGAGCGAAAGCGUGGGGAGCGAACAGGAUUAGAUACCCUGGUAGUCCACGCCGUAAACGUUGGGCGCUAGAUGUAGGGACCUUUCCACGGUUUCUGUGUCGUAGCUAACGCAUUAAGCGCCCCGCCUGGGGAGUACGGCCGCAAGGCUAAAACUCAAAGGAAUUGACGGGGGCCCGCACAAGCGGCGGAGCAUGCGGAUUAAUUCGAUGCAACGCGAAGAACCUUACCAAGGCUUGACAUACACCGGAAACGGCCAGAGAUGGUCGCCCCCUUGUGGUCGGUGUACAGGUGGUGCAUGGUUGUCGUCAGCUCGUGUCGUGAGAUGUUGGGUUAAGUCCCGCAACGAGCGCAACCCUCGUUCUAUGUUGCCAGCGCGUUAUGGCGGGGACUCAUAGGAGACUGCCGGGGUCAACUCGGAGGAAGGUGGGGAUGACGUCAAAUCAUCAUGCCCCUUAUGUCUUGGGCUUCACGCAUGCUACAAUGGCCGGUACAAAGGGCUGCGAUACCGUAAGGUGGAGCGAAUCCCAAAAAGCCGGUCUCAGUUCGGAUUGAGGUCUGCAACUCGACCUCAUGAAGUCGGAGUCGCUAGUA